rnacentral:rRNA from 1 species
CCUACGGGUGGCAGCAGUGAGGAAUAUUGGUCAAUGGCCGGAAGGCUGAACCAGCCAUGCAGCGUGAAGGUCAGUGCCCCAUCGGCGUUAAACUUCUUUUUUUCGGGAGCAAUAAUGGUGACGGUUGGCCAGACUAGAGUAACGUACUAAUAAGCAUCGGCUAACUCCGUGCCAGCAGCCGCGGUAAUACGUAGGUGGCAAGCGUUGUCCGGAUUUACUGGGGGUAAAGGGCGUGUAGCCGGGUUGACAAGUCAGAUGUGAAAUCCUGCGGCUUAACCGCAGAACUGCAUUUGAAACUGGGGGUCUUGAGUACUGGAGAGGCAGACGGAAUUCCUAGUGUAGCGGUGAAAUGCGUAGAUAUUAGGAGGAACACCAGUGGCGAAGGCGGUCUGCUGGACAGCAACUGACGGUGAGGCGCGAAAGCGUGGGUAGCAAACAGGAUUAGAUACCCGUGUAGUC